UACGGAGGAUGCAAGCGUUAUCCGGAAUGAUUGGGCGUAAAGCGUGCGCAGGUGGCUAUGUAAGUCUGCUGUUAAAGAGUGAGGCUCAACCUCAUAAGAGCAGUGGAAACUACAUGGCUAGAGUGCGUUCGGGGCAGAGGGAAUUCCUGGUGUAGCGGUGAAAUGCGUAGAGAUCAGGAAGAACAUCGGUGGCGAAGGCGCUCUGCUGGACCAUAACUGACACUCAGGGACGAAAGCUAGGGGAGCGAAUGGG
rnacentral:rRNA from 1 species